UUGCUACAGAUGAGGGCAACACGCCUGGUUCUUCGUGGCGAGGUGAGGGGUGGAAGCCAACGUAAAGGUGUCUGGUGUAAACCUGUUAAUUGAAGCGGCUGAGCAACUGGACAAUGAAGUACCCGUCUGCAGCCCCAUUUCUAUUGAAGUGCCUCUAAACACGACAG
rnacentral:lncRNA from 1 species